CGGAACAAUCCCACACCAAAGUUAAUUCAAGUGUUUGGUGAUAAACUACAGUAGAAUUGCAUACACGUAUCGUCACCCCUAAGAGGAACAAAAAUAAAAGACGGGAUCCUGGUCAAAACUACUUAACUUGUUAUAUAGCCUUUGCAAAAAUAUGCUUGAUACUGAACUGGGGCAACGAUCCACUCAAACGCGCGACUUCAUCCGCUAAAAUAAAUUAUAUACAAUUGUCAUUGGUCAAUGACGUGAUAAAAAAAAUCCAUAUAUAUCUAGUAUCUUCACAAUGAUAUGCCUCGUAAUUAUAUGAUAACUACAACUUGCACUUUUUAAUAUGGGGGAAUUAGGUAUUAGCUUACUUGGGAAGCCGUCCACUCUCUAAUAUUUUGUAUUUAUGAGUGGAAUUUUUUGUUUAUUUAUUUAUAAACCUAUAACUUUUACCCUUCUAAGAUUUUUUUUUUUUAAUUUCGUGAAGCUUUUUUUGGCCUUUGAAAAAAAAAACAUGUGAUUCAAUGAUGCCUUUAUUGUUAAAUGGUGAAUGAAUAUGACCAGGAAAGUUUUAUAUACCAUAUAAUGUUCUACAAUGAUAUGCUUCGUAAGUAAAUGAUAAUAGAAGAGAAUUUAAAACUCCUUUGUCAAUAGCCACUAAGAAAAAACAACAACUACCAUAUGAUAACUACAGCUAGCAGGCCUGCAGUAUAUCAUUGACUUUCGCUCAUUAAAAAAUUGAAUGAUUUAAUUUUUUUAUAGCAAUAUGAAUUUUAUAUAUCACUUUGUCAAAUUUAUAUAUGGAAAUUACUUUGGGUGUAUACGUGAAGCUUAUUUUGUCUUUUUGGAAAAAGAAAAAAAAAACUUGGGAUUCAAGUGACCCUUUUAUUACAAAAUUGUGUAUCAAUUACCCUACAGGGCGCAGUGCAAGACGACCAGGAAAUUUUGAUCUAUACAUUUUCGUCAGGUUCUAGAUGAUGUGUGAAAAACAGAUAUAUUCUUUACACACACAGUGACCUAAAAUUAGUUAUAGCAUCAAUUCUCAUGCCCAUGCAUUCACUUCUUUUAGAAAUCGUUCUUUAAAUAAAGAUUAAUCUAAACUAAGUUUUCCUUUUUGUCGAUCUGAAAGAUUAUCCUUCGCUUCAUAGUUUAAAACCAAUCAAAACUGUUUCAAAUCUCUAGGCCUGGAUAUACUUUUUCUUCUGUUUUUACAUUUUGGUUUUUCAUUAAUCAAAUAAAAGUUUCCAAACUAUGUUCUUAAAACUAAAUAAUUAAAAUCAAUUAAAAUAAAAUGGAUGAAAGUGAUCGUUGAGUUUGCAUACGUAUCUUGUGGAUUUAAUUUGGAAAUAGUUAAUGAUGCUUACAGCUAGGUAUAACUAUUUUUUUUUUACAGAACAGCUAGGUAUAACUAGUUGCAUCAAUAAAGGGGAACAAAUUUAAUAAAUUUCAUGACAAAGUAAGCAGUGUAGCUUGUACUUACAUGGCUGGAAAGAGUGAUGUGGGCAGUAAAUUAAGGUGUCUCAGCGCGCCAGUGACUCAGUACUCGACACUGAUUCUGUUUUAGAAGGGGCAUAUCUUUUUUCUUGGGGAUGUAUAGU
rnacentral:lncRNA from 1 species